ACCUUAAAGAACCUGCCUUUGUAGUGCUCACACAGAUUGUCUGAUGAAUGAUAAAUUUCAAAAUGUACUGCGAAGUGCAUUGUGAAAUUUUGCUCUUUAAAAAUCUGGACCAAGCUGAAAAUUGAAACGACACACAUGUUAUGUGUGUUCGAGUCUCUCAAAUUUUCGCAAACCGGUGAUGAAUCGAAAGAAACAUCUUCGGGUUGUGA
rnacentral:misc_RNA from 1 species